rnacentral:rRNA from 1 species
CUGGCUCAGGACGAACGCUGGCGGCGUGCCUAAUACAUGCAAGUCGAACGGUCUUUCUAUGGAAGCUUGCUUCCACUGAGAAGAUAGUGGCGAACGGGUGAGUAACACGUGGGUAACCUGCCCAUAAGAGGGGGGAUAACAUCCGGAAACGGGUGCUAAUACCGCAUAGUUUUCUUGAUCGCAUGAUCGGGAAAGGAAAGACGGCCUUUGUGCUGUCGCUUAUGGAUGGACCCGCGGCGUAUUAGUUAGUUGGUGAGGUAACGGCUCACCAAGACGAUGAUACGUAGCCGACCUGAGAGGGUGAUCGGCCACAUUGGGACUGAGACACGGCCCAAACUCCUACGGGAGGCAGCAGUAGGGAAUCUUCCGCAAUGGACGAAAGUCUGACGGAGCAACGCCGCGUGAGUGAAGAAAGGUUUUCGGAUCGUAAAACUCUGUUGUCAGAGAAGAACAAGUUGGAGAGUAACUGCUCCAGCCUUGACGGUAUCUGACCAGAAAGCCACGGCUAACUACGUGCCAGCCGCCGC